CUGACCUCAGAUCAGGCGGGACUACCCGCUGAACUUAAGCAUAUCAAUAAGCGGAGGAAAAGAAACUAACAAGGAUUCCCCUAGUAACUGCGAGUGAAGCGGGAWAAGCUCA
rnacentral:rRNA from 1 species